rnacentral:rRNA from 1 species
GACGAACGCUGGCGGCGUGCCUAACACAUGCAAGUCGAGCGAGUGGAUUUCCUUCGGGAGUGAAGCUAGCGGCGGACGGGUGAGUAACACGUGGGCAACCUGCCUCAUAGAGGGGAAUAGCCUCCCGAAAGGGAGAUUAAUACCGCAUAAGAUUGUAGCUUCGCAUGAAGUAGCAAUUAAAGGAGCAAUCCGCUAUGAGAUGGGCCCGCGGCGCAUUAGCUAGUUGGUGAGGUAACGGCUCACCAAGGCGACGAUGCGUAGCCGACCUGAGAGGGUGAUCGGCCACAUUGGGACUGAGACACGGCCCAGACUCCUACGGGAGGCAGCAGUGGGGGAUAUUGCACAAUGGGGGAAACCCUGAUGCAGCAACGCCGCGUGAAGGAAGAAGGGUCUUCGGAUUGUAAACUUUGUCUUAUGGGAAGAAGAAAGUGACGGUACCAGUAGGAGGAAGCCAACGGCUAACUACGUG